GGCAUGCCUUACACAUGCAAGUCGAACGGCAGCACGGGAGCAAUCCUGGUGGCGAGUGGCGAACGGGUGAGUAAUACAUCGGAACGUGCCCAAUCGUGGGGGAUAACGCAGCGAAAGCUGUGCUAAUACCGCAUAAGAUCUACGGAUGAAAGCAGGGGACUCGCAAGAGCCUUGCGCGAAUGGAGCGGCUGAUGGCAGAUUAGGUAGUUGGUGAGGUAAAGGCUCACCAAGCCUUCGAUCUGUAGCUGGUCUGAGAGGACGACCAGCCACACUGGGACUGAGACACGGCCCAGACUCCUACGGGAGGCAGCAGUGGGGAAUUUUGGACAAUGGGCGCAAGCCUGAUCCAGCCAUGCCGCGUGCAGGAUGAAGGCCUUCGGGUUGUAAACUGCUUUUGUACGGAACGAAAAGGUUCUUUCUAAUAAAGAGAGCUCAUGACGGUACCGUAAGAAUAAGCACCGGCUAACUACGUGCCAGCAGCCGCGGUAAUACGUAGGGUGCGAGCGUUAAUCGGAAUUACUGGGCGUAAAGCGUGCGCAGGCGGUGAUGUAAGACAGUUGUGAAAUCCCCGGGCUCAACCUGGGAACUGCAUCUGUGACUGCAUCGCUGGAGUGCGGCAGAGGGGGAUGGAAUUCCGCGUGUAGCAGUGAAAUG
rnacentral:rRNA from 1 species